UGUCCCUCAACCCCAGGUACAGAGCAGAGCCUCAAGCAGGACAGGAAGGAGGGUCAGCUCUGAAGCCACCUCUAAGGCCAAGCUUCAGUGAAAACCAUUUCCUCCCCACGGUGGACCAGAGCCAGACCAAGGCUGAGCGGGGCCUGUCUCUCCCACGUCAACAGUCCACAGUCCGGAGUCCUUGGUGGAGGUCGGUGCUGGCUUGACCUUCCUCUUCUUCAGUCAUCCUCACCCACAGCACUUUCCCUGUGGGGACCAAGGCCAGGUCACUAGAGGCAGGGUCAGACCCACCCCCUCCGAUUUCACCAAGGGCUGCCCGACCCCUUCAUAUUUUCAUUUGCCCUAGGAUUCCUCCCAAGAGAAGAGACUCUUUUCCAGGCUUCAAGGGGCCAGCCAUGGCCCAUCCCCCACACCUCAGCUAGGAGACUUGGCUUAAUUUGGGAAAUGUAAGAGCCAGGAGCUUCCUUAGGCCAAAUGAAGUGUCCCCAUCAGGAGGGAAGGGCACAGGGGUUGGCAGAAACCUGUGCAGGGUGGAGGGGGUGGUUGGUUUCCCUGGGCUCUCUAAGGCCUCUCCUCUGGUGGGAUCCACAACGUCAGCCAGCUGCCUCCUGGUCUGGCUUUGGCAGGUAUGGAGAACCAAUUUCAUGGUGAACUCCACGGGCCAACGGCGCUGAGGCGGCUGUAGGAGGGGGACUAGGGUGUUGUUCCCUCCUCUGUCACUGGAACUGUCUGGAGGAUGCCAGCCUCCCUAUGCUAACUGGUGGCCUUACUUGCUAUGACUAGUGGCCAUGGGCAGGUACCUUCAAGCUGGACCUCUAGUUGGAGGACACAAGCUGGCUUUGAUUAAAAAAUAAAACCCCUGCAUCUUUUAUCCUAG
rnacentral:lncRNA from 1 species